rnacentral:pre_miRNA from 1 species
UCCGGUUUUUUCCGUGGUGAUAACGCAUCCAAAAGUCUCUAUCACCGGGAGAAAAACUGGAGU